rnacentral:rRNA from 1 species
UGUGUAGGCGGGAACGUAAGCAUUGGGUGAAAUCCCCCGGCUUAACCGGGGAAUUGCUUGAUGUACUGCGUUUCUUGAGGCAGGUAGGGGUGCGCGGAACUCUUGGUGGAGCGGUGGAAUGCGUAGAUAUCAAGAGGAACGCCGAUGGUGAAGACAGUGCACUAGGCCUGUCCUGACGCUGAGACACGAAAGCGUGGGGAGCGAACGGGAUUAGAUACCCCGGUAGUCCACGCCGUAAACGAUGCCUACUAGGUUGUGGUGGUUCUGACGCCAGCACAGCCGAAGCCAAAGUGUUAAGUAGGCCGCCUGGGGAGUACGGUCGCAAGGCUAAA